rnacentral:rRNA from 1 species
UACGUAGGGGGCAAGCGUUGUCCGGAAUUAUUGGGCGUAAAGCGCGCGCAGGCGGUCAUUUAAGUCUGGUGUUUAAGCCCGGGGCUCAACCCCGGUUCGCAUCGGAAACUGGAUGACUUGAGUGUAGGAGAGGAAAGUGGAAUUCCACGUGUAGCGGUGAAAUGCGUAGAGAUGUGGAGGAACACCAGUGGCGAAGGCGGUUCUCUGGGACGGUACUGACGCUGAGACGCGAAAGCGUGGGGAGCGAACAGG